UACGUAGGUGGCGAGCGUUAUCCGGAUUUAUUGGGCGUAAAGAGGGCGCAGGCGGCUUUUCAAGUCGAAUGUAAAAUCUCCCAGCUUAACUGGGAGGGACCAUUCGAUACUGUUGAGCUGGAGGGCAGCAGAGGGAGGUGGAAUUCCCGGUGUAGUGGUGAAAUGCGUAGAUAUCGGGAGGAACACCAGUGGCGAAGGCGGCCUCCUGGGCUGUACCUGACGCUGAGGCCCGAAAGCGUGGGGAG
rnacentral:rRNA from 1 species